rnacentral:tRNA from 1 species
CGGGUGUAGUUCAACGGUAGAAUGAAAGCUUCCCAAGCUUUAUACGAGGGUUCGACUCCCUUCACCC